AUUGAACGCUGGCGGCAUGCCUUACACAUGCAAGUCGAACGGCAGCGCGGACUUCGGUCUGGCGGCGAGUGGCGAACGGGUGAGUAAUACAUCGGAACGUACCCUGUUGUGGGGGAUAACUAGUCGAAAGAUUAGCUAAUACCGCAUACGACCUGAGGGUGAAAGUGGGGGACCGCAAGGCCUCACGCAGCAGGAGCGGCCGAUGUCUGAUUAGCUAGUUGGUGGGGUAAAGGCCCACCAAGGCGACGAUCAGUAGCUGGUCUGAGAGGACGAUCAGCCACACUGGGACUGAGACACGGCCCAGACUCCUACGGGAGGCAGCAGUGGGGAAUUUUGGACAAUGGGGGCAACCCUGAUCCAGCAAUGCCGCGUGUGUGAAGAAGGCCUUCGGGUUGUAAAGCACUUUUGUCCGGAAAGAAAUCGCGCUGGUUAGUACCUGGCGUGGAUGACGGUACCGGAAGAAUAAGCACCGGCUAACUACGUG
rnacentral:rRNA from 1 species